UUUGCAAGGCAUUGUACAUUGCUUUGGAUAAAAGCAUCUGCUAAAUGGCAUAUA
rfam:Salmo salar isolate Sally breed double haploid chromosome ssa11, whole genome shotgun sequence.